rnacentral:snRNA from 1 species
UAGAGGUUCACUUCUCUUACAU